rnacentral:rRNA from 1 species
GAACGCUGGCGGCGUGCCUAAUACAUGCAAGUCGAGCGCAGGAAACUGACGGAACUCUUCGGAGGGAAGGCAGUGGAAUGAGCGGCGGACGGGUGAGUAACACGUAAGGAACCUGCCUCAAGGAUUGGGAUAACUCCGAGAAAUCGGAGAUAAUACCGGAUAGUUCAUCGGACCGCAUGGUCCAAUGAUGAAAGGCGCUUCGGCGUCACCUUGAGAUGGCCUUGCGGUGCAUUAGCUAGUUGGUGGGGUAACGGCCCACCAAGGCGACGAUGCAUAGCCGACCU